AAAACUUUACAAUGCGGGAAAGAAAUAUAAGGGGACACCGAGUGAGAGCAUCAUAAUUUGGCUGUUCAGGCGUGUAAAAUACACGUGUUAGCAAGGGCCGGGCAAGACCGGUGCCAGCCGCCGCGGUAACACCGGCGGCCCGAGUGGUGAUCGUGAUUAUUGGGUUUAAAGGGUCCGUAGCCGGUUUGGUCAGUCUUCCGGGAAAUCCAUCAGCUCAACCGUUAGGCUUUCGGGGGAUACUGCCAGACUUGGAACCGGGAGAGGUAAGAGGUACUACAGGGGUAGGAGUGAAAUCCUGUAAUCCCUGGGGGACCACCUGUGGCGAAGGCGUCUCACCAGAACGGGUUCGACAGUGAGGGACGAAAGCUGGGGGAACAAACCGGAUUAGAUACCCGGGUAGUCCCAGCCGUAAACGAUGCUCGUUAGGUGU
rnacentral:rRNA from 1 species